rnacentral:rRNA from 1 species
CACGUAGGGCGCAAGCGUUGUCCGGAAUUAUUGGGCGUAAAGAGCUCGUAGGCGGACUGUCACGUCUGCUGUGAAAAGCUGGGGCUUAACCCUGGCCUUGCAGUGGAUACGGGCAGACUAGAGGUAGGUAGAGGAGAAUGGAAUUCCUGGUGUAGCGGUGAAAUGCGCAGAUAUCAGGAAGAACACCCGUGGCGAAGGCGGUUCUCUGGGACGGUACUGACGCUGAGACGCGAAAGCGUGGGGAGCGAACAGG